CUAUCGCGCUGCCGCGGCGGCGGCCGGGGGCGGCUACACCGCCAUGCCGGCCCCUAUGAGCGUGUACUCGCACCCUGCUCACGCCGAGCAGUACCCGGGCGGCAUGGCGCGCGCCUACGGGCCUUAUACGCCGCAGCCGCAGCCCAAGGACAUGGUGAAGCCUCCCUACAGCUACAUCGCUCUUAUCACCAUGGCUAUCCAGAAUGCCCCGGACAAGAAGAUCACCCUGAAUGGCAUCUACCAGUUCAUCAUGGACCGCUUUCCCUUCUAUCGGGACAAUAAGCAGGGCUGGCAGAACAGCAUACGGCACAACCUCUCGCUUAAUGAGUGCUUCGUCAAGGUGCCCCGCGACGACAAGAAGCCAGGCAAGGGCAGCUACUGGACGCUGGACCCGGACUCCUACAACAUGUUCGAGAACGGCAGCUUCCUGCGGCGGCGGCGGCGCUUCAAGAAGAAGGACGCGGUGAAGGACAAGGAGGAGAAGGGCCGACUGCACCUCCAGGAACCGCCGCCGCCGCAGGCCGGCCGCCAGCCCGCGCCCGCGCCCCCGGAACAGGCCGAGGGCUCCGCUCCCGGGCCACAGCAGCCACCCGUGCGCAUCCAGGACAUCAAGACGGAGAACGGUACGUGUCCCUCGCCGCCCCAGCCCCUGUCCCCGGCUGCCGCCCUAGGCAGCGGCAGUGCGGCCACAGUGCCUAAAAUCGAGAGUCCCGACAGCAGCAGCAGCAGCCUGUCGAGCGGGAGCAGCCCCCCGGGCAGCCUGCCCUCGGCGCGGCCG
rnacentral:lncRNA from 1 species